UAAAAUACCCUUGUGCUCAAUAAUUUGAGCAACCACUUUCUCUCCUUCUUCUUCUCUUUGGCGUUGGCUAUCUCCUUCUUCUUCUUCUUCUCUUUGUUUUUCUUCAACUUCAUCCUUAGCCAAAUCCAUCAAAUUCAACCCAUUUAACUUGAUUUAAGGAAUCAAUCCUAGAGUUUAAAGCUUGAGAAGUGAUUUGUGGUGAUUAUUUUCAAGAAACUUGGAAAGCCAAAGGCUUAGGAAACCUCUACCAAGGAGUAAAGGCAAAGUUGGAGCUUAGAAUGCUUUAAUCUAAGCUUGCUAAGGCUUGUUUUAAAGUAAGUGUUCAUAAAUCCUCCUACCUUGUUUAAAUUUUUGAUUUUGUGAAGUUUAUACUAUUUGUGAAAAUUGGGAAUUUUAUAUGAAAUGAUUUGAUUAUUGAAUUUUGG
rnacentral:lncRNA from 1 species